UACAGGCUUAACACAUGCAAGGUCAGGGGCAGCAUGAGAUCAGCUUGCUGAUCUGAUGGCGACCGGCGCACGGGGUGAGUAACGCGUAUCCAACCUUCCCCCUGCUCAGGGAUAGCCCGCUGAAAGGCGGAUUAACACCUGAUAGCUUCACUAGAUGGCAUCUGACGGUGAGUAAAGAUAACGGCAAGGGAUGGGGAUGCGUCUGAUUAGCUUGUUGGCGGGGUAACGGCCACCAAGGCAACGAUCAGUAGGGGUUCUGAGAGGAAGGUCCCCCACAUUGGAACUGAGACACGGUCCAAACUCCUACGGGAGGCAGCAGUGAGGAAUAUUGGUCAAUGGGCGGAAGCCUGAACCAGGUACCCAAGUAGCGUGCAGGGAGACGGCCCUAUGGGUUGUAAACCGCUUUUGCCGGGGAAUAAAGUGUCCCACGCGUGGGGCUUUGCAUGUACCCGGAGAAUAAGGACCGGCUAAUUCCGUGCCAGCCGCCGC
rnacentral:rRNA from 1 species